rnacentral:rRNA from 1 species
GAUGAACGCUGGCGGCGUGCCUAAUACAUGCAAGUCGAGCGAACGGACGAGAAGCUUGCUUCUCUGAUGUUAGCGGCGGACGGGUGAGUAACACGUGGAUAACCUACCUAUAAGACUGGGAUAACUUCGGGAAACCGGAGCUAAUACCGGAUAAUAUUUUGAACCGCAUGGUUCAAAAGUGAAAGACGGUCUUGCUGUCACUUAUAGAUGGAUCCGCGCUGCAUUAGCUAGUUGGUAAGGUAACGGCUUACCAAGGCAACGAUGCAUAGCCGACCUGAGAGGGUGAGCGGCCGCAGUGGAACUGAGACACGGUCCAGACUCCUACGGGAGGCAGCAGUAGGGAAUCUUCCGCAAUGGGCGAAAGCCUGACGGAGCAACGCCGCGUGAGUGAUGAAGGUCUUCGGAUCGUAAAACUCUGUUAUUAGGGAAGAACAUAUGUGUAAGUAACUGUGCACAUCUUGACGGUACCUAAUCAGAAAGCCACGGCUAACUACGU